CUUGAGACGAUUUCUAGUGGGUUUUCUGAUCUCUGUGAGCAUCAUGACUGCCUUUAGCAUUGUGGAGGAGGACUCGAGUUUCUUAUGAGGGCCCCACUUGGAAAAGCAGGCUGUGCAGAUUCAAGCCUCCGGUUCUGUUCAUGCUGUUCAAAAGCCUUUCCUCACCCUUGCUGAUUUGUUUUUAUGAUUUACAUACACUCCUGUGGAGAUUUACAGAAUGGAUUGUCUGUGCAUUGUCACGACCAAGCAGAGCCAUGGCAGAUGCCCAUCCCACAAAUGCUCAGUCGAAACACCUGCCUGGAUACCCAUUCAGCACUCUACCGUAAGUUUGAGCCUUUUAAUGCAAAGCUUUGAGAGACUGAAUGGUAAGUCUCUGUAUUUGGAGCAGUGCUGCCAGGUAAAAUUUCAAGACUUAGUGCUUGAGAAAGAAUAGAAGCAAGUCCUAAGACCAAACUAAACUCUGUGGGAAGCCUGAGCUGUUGAAAUGUUGGGUAUGGUCUUAGCAGGGCUUCUUCAGAAGUUCACCAUCUUCUUUUUUUUUUUAAUUUCAUUCCAUGUGGAGCAUGGGGAUCAGUGGCAAGCGUGGCGUGGCAAGCAUAGUUGUUGGUAGAAUCCAAAUCAAAUGGAAUGUGGAGUUCCUGCCACUUGCUCUAACUAACUGUGCUCCAGCUGAGCGUGAUGACAAGAUGCCUGCUAGUUCUGCCCAGUCGUGGGCAUGGUUUGUGGGAAUUAAUCUGUAUGCUCCUGCUGGGGCUGCCAGGAAUAAGUGACAUUUAUAGCACCGCUUGUCCCCAGAUUCAGAUGGUGACACCAUGAUAGGGAGAUGCUUAUUUCUUUUCCACUUUUUCAUGGAAGAAAGACGGGUGAUCCUAUGUGCUUCAUGGACUAAUAAGUAGGAAAAUUAGUCCAGUGUAGGUAACUUUUGAGAUGGUGGGCAGUAAGUGAACUUUACUGGAGUGGAAAUGGCCUGUUUAAAUGCUGUCAAUUAGAUGGCUUCAGUGAGAUUUGUUUUAACUAUCAAGGACACAGUAAUAUUUGAAGAGAAAAAAGAAACUGCGGUCAAGUUGACACUGCAUUGAUUUAUAUCUUGUCUGAAUAUACAUUGUAUAUAGAGCCAAAUCCUUGGAUGCUGGAAGUUAGAGGGCUGACUAAUAGAGCUAUGAUGAUUUAUCUCAGCUGAGGAGCUGGCAGGAUUUAGGUGACAUUUUCUUUGGCUCUAGACCACAGAUUGAUGUUGGUCCUCAGCUAUCAACUUGUCACCAUUUAUGAGUAGAUGAAUGAGAAACAGAUUCCAGUUUUUGUCCUCCUUUGGUCUCUU
rnacentral:lncRNA from 1 species